rnacentral:rRNA from 1 species
UACGUAGGGGGCAAGCGUUGUCCGGAUUUAUUGGGCGUAAAGAGCGUGUAGGCGGCUUUACAGGUCCGUUGUGAAAACUCGAGGCUCAACCUCGAGACGUCGGCGGAAACCAUCUGGCUAGAGUCCGGAAGAGGAGAGUGGAAUUCCUGGUGUAGCGGUGAAAUGCGCAGAUAUCAGGAAGAACACCAGUGGCGAAGGCGGCUCACUGGCCCGGUACUGACGCUGAGGUGCGAAAGCGUGGGGAGCAAACAGG